rnacentral:lncRNA from 1 species
GAGCCGGAGGGGCUGCACUGCACCGAGCUUGCACAGGGCGAGGCGGGGGCAGGACCUGGGACCCAGCCACCCCGGAGGAAACCGGAGAGGAAACCAGCUUGGUCUUGCUCUCUGCCUCGUCCCAAUCCCCGGCUCUUACCAAAUGCAGAUCCGUUGGCUGAAUGCCUUUUAGUCUGCAUACAUGCAUCUCAUACCGCACAGCCCAAAUUUCUACAACUUGUCCAGGUGCAGUCUCCUCAGAACUACAAAGCAAGAAAAGAUCACCUUUGGGCUCAGGAACUCACAGUCGUUCUCCCUCUCCCGGAAGGCACAAUGACCAGGACAGUACCGAGCUUUACAGCCAUAUUGAACUCACCAUCAACUCAGCACAUUCAACUCAAUCAGUCAAAAUCGUCUUUUCCUGCUGGUAAAUAACACUGAAAUAUAAAGAGACUGAUCUCAGAGUGGUACAGAUCUACAACCACGUGAAGAAUUGGAUUUAUAUUCAUCUGACUCCAGAAAGUUCCUGAGAUUCCUCUGCUUCAUCAUCUUUCCCAUGCCCUUUAAAACACGUUAUCAAAUAGCAACAGGUGGUGCAAUAACUAGACAAAUGAUUCUCAGCCUUUUUCUUUGCCAUUAGCACUCCCGGAAGGAGACGUGUUGGACACUUUUCCUUGUCACCACCCCAUGAACCUUCCAUACCACAGGUAUACUGUGUAUUCGGUUAUGUAUCAUCUGUACAUCUGUUUCUAAAACACAGAAACAGUAAGAGCCCCCCAUCCAAGAAUCCAUUUUAAUCCUCUUGGGUGUGAUGUCACCCCCCAAAAAUGCAUAUGCUCUGGAGUCAGUCACAAACACAUUACGAAUGCAUGAUCACUUAAGAAUGUUACCAAAGUUUAUAAAUUUGAGAUGAUAAUUCUAUGUUAUUUAGUUCAUUUUAGAGAUAAGUAAGAACCAGAGAUUCCAGAGAGGUAGACCAAGCUGACAGAGCAAGGAAAGGCAGAGCCAGACAUGCAGCUGAAGCAUCUGAAUUCCCACUCUAGUGCUCCAGCUUAACCUGGAUGAUCAGUAAAUGGUUGCUUUUCAAUGUGCUCUCAACACUUCCCACACUGCCUCCUUCAUUAAUAAAGGAAUGGUAUUUUGGGAGAAACCAGAAUCUGCCCUGGGGCAAUAGAAAGGCAGCAAAGCAACCUGCAUUCAAGUCUUUGGGGGAUUUUUUGGAAAGCAGAGUGUAUUAGUCUGCUAUUGCUGCUGUAACAAAUUACCAUAAAUUUAGUGGCUUAAAACAACACACAUUUGUUGUCUUAAAGUUCUGGAGGUCAGAGCCCAAAAUGGGUCUCAUGGAGCUCAAAUCAAGAUGUCAGAAGGGCUGUGUUCCUUUGGAAGGCCCUUGGGGAGAAUCUGUUCCAUGCCUUCUCCAGUUCCUGGAAGUCACCUGCUUGCUUUGGCUGUGGGGCACUUCCAGCAACUGCAUCACUCUAACCUCUGCAACCAUAGCACGUCUCCCUUUUCUGACUCUCACCCUCUUCUUUCUUUCCCUUAUAAGGACAAUUGUAGUACAGGAUAAUCUCCCCAUUUCAAAAUCCUUUACUUAAUCACAUCUGCAAAGUCCGUCUUGGCCUAUAAGGUGACAUACUUGCAGAUUCCAGAAAUUAGAAUUUGGACGUCUUUGGGUGGCUGUUAUUAUGCCUGCCACACAGACCAAUGCAUACACAAUGUGACCAAUCCAUCAUGAUUUGUCUGAGACUAUAUUGGCUUUAAAGCUGAAAGUUCUGCAUCCCAGGAAUCGCCUCAGUCCCAGGCAAUUCAGGACAAUUCGUCGUCACCCUAUGUGCACCUCCUAUGUGCUCCUUCAACUUAGAGAGUUGGUGUUUUCUCUCCUCUUCAAAGGACUAACUCCUUUUCACCUAAAGAGUACACAGAGGCUGGGUGUAGUGGUUUAGGCCUGUACUCUGUGCAUUUGGGACACUGAGGCAGGAGGUUCACUUGAGCCCAGGAGUUUGAGACCAUUCACGGCAACAUAGUGAGAUCCUUUCUCUACAAAUUUUUUAAAAAAUUAGUUGGGCAUGGUGGCACAUGCCUGUAGUCCCAGAUACUUGGCAGGCUAAGGAGGAAGGAUCCCCUGAGCCCGGGAUUCAAGGCUGCAGUGAGCUAUGAUAGUGCCACUGUACUGCAGCUGAGGCAAUAAAACGAGGCCCUGUCUCUAAAAAUAAAAAAAAAAAAAAAAAAGAAAAAAAGGCUGCACAGAAUAGACUGAUGGACUGAAGGCUCUGCCCUUAUCAAACAUUUACUAAGUAAUAAUUAUAAGUUUGCCUCCUACACUGGGUGACUUCUC